CUGGCUCAGAGUGAACGCUGGCGGUAGGCCCAACACAUGCAAGUCGAACGGCAGCACAGUAAGAGCUUGCUCUACGGGUGGCGGGUGGCGGACGGGUGAGGAAUACAUCGGAAUCACUUUUCGUGGGGGAUAACGUAGGGAAACUUACGCUAAUACCGCAUACGACCUACGGGUGAAAGCAGGGGAUCUUCGGACCUUGCGCGAUUGAAUGAGCCGAUGUCGGACUAGCUAGUUGGCGGGGUAAAGGCCCACCAAGGCGACGACCCGUAGCUGGUCUGAGAGGAUGAUCAGCCACACUGGAACUGAGACACGGUCCAGACUCCUACGGGAGGCAGCAGUGAGGAAUAUUGGUCAAUGGACGAGAGUCUGAACCAGCCAAGUAGCGUGGAAGGAUGACUGCCCUAUGGGUUGUAAACUUCUUUUGUUUGGGAAUAAAGUGGGCCACGUGUGGCCUUUUGUAUGUACCAUACGAAUAAGCAUCGGCUAAUUCCGUGCCAGCCGCCGC
rnacentral:rRNA from 1 species